AGUUGGUGGAGCGAUUUGUCUGGUUAAUUCCGAUAACGAGCGAGACCUCAGCUUACUAAUUAGUUAGGGGAAUCAAUGAUUCCAUCGUCACCUAACUUCUUAGAGGGACUAUCGGUGAGUAGCCGAUGGAAGUUUGAGGCAAUAACAGGU
rnacentral:rRNA from 1 species